rnacentral:rRNA from 1 species
UACGUAGGACCCGAGCGUUGUCCGGAUUUACUGGGUAUAAAGGUGCGUAGGCGGCCUUGUGCGAUCGAGGUGAAAUAUCCGGCUUAACCCGGAGGGUGACCUUUGAUACGGCGAGGCUUAGUGCGAGAGAGGAUGAUGGAAUUCCUGGUGUAGUCGGUGAAAAUGCGUAGAUAUCAGGAGGAACACCGGUGGCGAAGGCGGUCACUGGCUCGUAACUGACGCUGAGGCACGAAAGCGCGGGGGAUC